CGUGCGCACAGAGAUCGUGCAGCCGCGCGACCGACAAGCCUCGGUCACCCUGACCGGCGAAGUUGAGGCCCGCUUCCGCGCCGACCUCUCGUUCCGCGUCAGCGGACGGGUGCUUGCACGCUAUGUCGAUGUCGGUGCCCACGUCCAGGCUGGCGAAGUCCUGGCUCUGCUCGAUCCAGCGGANGCAGGCCGAUGUCGAUGCCGCGACCGCGGCGUUACUGGCUGCAGAAUUCCAGCUGCGUGUG
rnacentral:misc_RNA from 1 species